GAUGAACGCUGGCGGCGUGCCUAAUACAUGCAAGUCGAGCGAACGGACGAGAAGCUUGCUUCUCUGAUGUUAGCGGCGGACGGGUGAGUAACACGUGGAUAACCUACCUAUAAGACUGGGAUAACUUCGGGAAACCGGAGCUAAUACCGGAUAAUAUUUUGAACCGCAUGGUUCAAAAGUGAAAGACGGUCUUGCUGUCACUUAUAGAUGGAUCCGCGCUGCAUUAGCUAGUUGGUAAGGUAACGGCUUACCAAGGCAACGAUGCAUAGCCGACCUGAGAGGGUGAUCGGCCACACUGGAACUGAGACACGGUCCAGACUCCUACGGGAGGCAGCAGUAGGGAAUCUUCCGCAAUGGGCGAAAGCCUGACGGAGCAACGCCGCGUGAGUGAUGAAGGUCUUCGGAUCGUAAAACUCUGUUAUUAGGGAAGAACAUAUGUGUAAGUAACUGUGCACAUCUUGACGGUACCUAAUCAGAAAGCCACGGCUAACUACGUGCCAGCAGCCGCGGUAAUACGUAGGUGGGCAGCGUUAUCCGGAAUUUAUGGGCGUAAAGCGCGCGUAGGCGGUUUUUUAGUCUGAUGUGAAAGCCCACGGCUCAACCGUGGAGGGUCAUUGGAAACUGGAAAACUUGAGUGCAGAAGAGGAAAGUGGAAUUCCAUGUGUAGCGGUGAAAUGCGCAGAGAUAUGGAGGAACACCAGUGGCGAAGGCGACUUUCUGGUCUGUAACUGACGCUGAUGUGCGAAAGCGUGGGGAUCAAACAGGAUUAGAUACCCUGGUAGUCCACGCCGUAAACGAUGAGUGCUAAGUGUUAGGGGGUUUCCGCCCCUUAGUGCUGCAGCUAACGCAUUAAGCACUCCGCCUGGGGAGUACGACCGCAAGGUUGAAACUCAAAGGAAUUGACGGGGACCCGCACAAGCGGUGGAGCAUGUGGUUUAAUUCGAAGCAACGCGAAGAACCUUACCAAAUCUUGACAUCCUUUGACAACUCUAGAGAUAGAGCCUUCCCCUUCGGGGGACAAAGUGACAGGUGGUGCAUGGUUGUCGUCAGCUCGUGUCGUGAGAUGUUGGGUUAAGUCCCGCAACGAGCGCAACCCUUAAGCUUAGUUGCCAUCAUUAAGUUGGGCACUCUAAGUUGACUGCCGGUGACAAACCGGAGGAAGGUGGGGAUGACGUCAAAUCAUCAUGCCCCUUAUGAUUUGGGCUACACACGUGCUACAAUGGACAAUACAAAGGGCAGCGAAACCGCGAGGUCAAGCAAAUCCCAUAAAGUUGUUCUCAGUUCGGAUUGUAGUCUGCAACUCGACUACAUGAAGCUGGAAUCGCUAGUAAUCGUAGAUCAGCAUGCUACGGUGAAUACGUUCCCGGGUCU
rnacentral:rRNA from 1 species